GUUUCCCUUCGGGGCCGGUUCACAGGUGAUACAUGGUCGUGUGCAGCUCGUGUCGUGAGAUGUUGGGUUAAGUCCCGCAACGAGCGCAACCCUCGCCGCAUGUUGCCAGCGGGUGAUGCCGGGAACUCAUGUGGGACCGCCGGGGUCAACUCGGAGGAAGGUGGGGAUGACGUCAGAUCAUCAUGCCCCUUACGUCCAGGGCUUCACGCAUGCUACAAUGGCCGGUACAACGCGGUGCGACACGGUGACGUGGGGCGGAUCGCUGAAAACCGGUCUCAGUUCGGAUCGCAGUCUGCAACUCGACUGCGUGAAGGCGGAGUCGCUAGUAAUCGCGGAUCAGCAACGCCGCGGUGAAUGCGUUCCCGGGCCUUGUACACACCGCCCGUCAAGUCAUGAAAGUGGGUAGCACCCGAAGCCGGUGGCCCGACCCUUGUGGGGGGAGCCGUCUAAGGUGAGACUCGUGAUUGGGACUAAGUCGUAACAAGGUAGCCGUACCGGAAGGUGCGGCUG
rnacentral:rRNA from 1 species